UCCCGGGCCGCUGGCCCCCGAGUCGGUAGAGCACGAGACUCUUAAUCUCGGGGUCGUGGGUUCGAUCCCCACGUUGGGAA